AACGCACAUUGCGCCUCUUGGUAUUCCGAGGGGCAUGUCUGUUUGAGCGUCAGUACACACCUCCUGUGACCUUUAUUGUGAUCAGGGCUUUGGGACCGGCGGGCCUCUUCCCCACGCUCCGGCGGGGGGGCUGGGCCGUCGCCCCUAAUGUGGCACGCUUGCGGACCUCCAGUCAGUGAUCAACGUAGUAAACUCGAAAGAAGCUCGUGGAGACCUGGUGGAUGGCUUUCGCCUGAAUCAAACUCUUUCUAUGGUUUGACCUCAGAUCAGACAAGGAUACCCGCUGAACUUAA
rnacentral:misc_RNA from 1 species